rnacentral:rRNA from 1 species
CCUACGGGAGGCAGCAGUGGGGAAUAUUGCACAAUGGGGGAAACCCUGAUGCAGCGACGCCGCGUGAGUGAAGAAGUAUUUCGGUAUGUAACGCUCUAUCAGCAUGGAAGAGAAUGACGGUACCUGAGUAAGAAGCCCCGGCUAACUACGUGCCAGCAGCCGCGGUAAUACGUAGGGGGCAAGCGUUAUCCGGAUUUACUGGGUGUAAAGGGAGCGUAGACGGCGAAGAAAGUCUGAAGUGAAAGCCCGCAGCUCAAUCGCGGAACUGCUGUGGAAACUUUUUUGCUGGAGUACCGGAGAGGUAAGCGGAAUGCCUAGUGUAGCGGUGAAAUGCGUAGAUAUUAGGAGGAACACCAGUGGCGAAGGCGGCUUACUGGACGGUAACUGACGUUGAGGCUCGAAAGCGUGGGGAGCAAACAGGAUUAGAUACCCUGGUAGUC